UGGUUCUGUAACAAACAAGAUCAUAGCUACAUAGAUGUGACUAGAAACCCACCAUCUACUUCCAGACAUACAAAAAUUAAUGAGACUGUUAUGAAAACACAGGAAAGCCCAUUCAGAAUUUCACAAACUUAAACUUUUUUGAUUUCUCCUUCAGUAGGGAUGGACAGGACAGGCUAUUAGAGGACCUUGUGCAGCUACUUCACACUUAACAUCAAUGUUGUUUUGUGCAUUUUUGUUGUUGUUGUUUUGUUUUGUUUUUUUGUCCAUCUGCCUCUCCCCCUGCCCAUCUCCAGAGUACUACUGGAAGAAGACAAGGGCAAUUUAAGAUCUGUAUAAUUGCUCAGAUGUGCACACCAUAAUGUAAAGAGAAAAAAAUCACGGAACCACAUUUUGAAACCUGAACCUUGGACUUCAGAAGGUUUAUGUCAGGUUAGCCAAGAAGAGAAUCCAUACCUAUCUCACAGAGCUAGAAAUCCAAUCCAUUUUUCAAACAUCUUCACUGUCACAAUCAAGCUCCAUGUGACUACCUUACUUUGGCUGACUUUGUUUCUGAGGUCUUGGCCUUUCAGUCUACAAGCAGCUGCAUAUUCAGAAUCAAGACCACAAUCCUUUUCAGCUCCUAACAGAAGCACAAGCAGGCAAGAUGAAUGCAACAUGCCAGUCUACAACUUACUUAGAAAAAAAAAUGCUUUGAGAUUUUCAUAAAAGACAAGAAAAGACUAAAAUAAUAUUUUACUAAACACCAUUUUUUCCUCUUACUGUACUUUCAAACAGCGUGUCAAAUCAGCAUAGUAAUGUUCAUUACUGGAUAGCUACUGCUGUACAGAUUCUAACAUAAAGAUCAAGUACAGCUUGUUUUUCAAGGCAGACAUACAACUGCUAAUACUGCUACUGCAGAAUCACUGGAAGGUAUUGAGAUACUGGACAACAAGUAGUUAAGUGCUUUAUGAAGUGAAUAACGUUUAAGAAAAAAGGAAUUCACAUGGUCCGGAAGUUCUUUCAACUGGCAGCAGAUAGCAUAUGAUGGACAAACAAUAGACAAGCCACAGAUAUGUAAUUCCUCCUUCAUUCUAUUAACUGUGCUCACUCUGCAGGGAUCUCACAAGACUAGCUCCUUCAACCGAUACAUGCAAACAACAUGGUUAACUACAGUCAGUAGCUGAAAUUCCAGUAAUUAAAGCAAAAUUGACACAGAAGAUGAUCUUAUUAAUUCUGUUUUACAGAAGAUCAAGGUGAACAUGCAGCAAUUUCCUACAGGUCACUUCAGUGCUAAAAAUUUAUUUUUCUGUAUCAUGGUACUCUAAACAGGAAUGCCAAAAAAUUAACAUUACCUUGAUCUCUUUUCCAAAAUACAAUCCCAUGCAUUUGCCCUGAAAUGCCAAUGUGACUGACUCUUUGAAGCUGCUGCUGAGGUAGAGCAGCAAGGCAUUCGUUCAGUGCUGUUAUUAUUCUCCGGACAUUCUGCUCCAUUCCCUGUAAUCACGAAGCAUUAUACCAAGAUGAAGCCAUUAGGACUCACUGUAUUUAUUAAACAAGGCUACUCUAGUCUGAAGUGAAGAAUGGAAUUCAUUUAGGUUAAUAACAUGCAUCAGAGUAACAUUCACUACUAAAGUGAAAGUUUG